GUAAUGCUAAGACUCAUCCUAAUGAUUUCCUUGGUGUUGUUGCGAACUAUGACCUCCAUUGGGGUCAUGUCAUAAGCCGUCACAGAACCUUCAUGCCCAGAGUCAUCGGGCAUAUCAGAUUCUUGUGGGACACUAUUUCUAACAAGCCUGAAGCUAAAUGUCAAUGGAUCUGGUAGCAAUACAUCCACAACAGAUGUCUGAAGCGCUGCCUGUAUGGCAUCCUUCAUAUUCAGUUCUCCAGAGCUGUUUCUUCCUGAUUGCCACCUCACCUUUAUCCUGGAAAUGAGGUUCUUAAUUGAAGCAUUUAAUUCAGCCUUGGCAUUCUUUUCUGAGAAGCUCGAAUUUCUGCCAACACCAUCAGGCUGAAAAUCCUUCAUGAAAAAGGAACCAUCAAGAAUGGGCAACUUAAAAUGCUCCAGAGGUAUUAAUACCCUCGCAGAAUGAUCCCUAUCAAUUCUUGUUUUUGGACAACAAUAUUCAGUAGCAUCUUGAACAGCAGAAAGGUUAUCCAACUUAUCUUCGCAGCUGUCAAGCUGGACAGAAACGCUAAUUUCAAACACAACAUCAGUUGGAUUAGACAAUUCUAAUUC
rnacentral:misc_RNA from 1 species